rnacentral:rRNA from 1 species
UACGUAGGGGGCUAGCGUUGUCCGGAAUCAUUGGGCGUAAAGCGCGUGUAGGCGGUCCGGUAAGUCCGCUGUGAAAGCCUGUGGCUCAACCACAGAAUUGCCUUCGAUACUGUUUGGCUUGAGACCGGAAGAGGUAAGUGGAACUGCGAGUGUAGAGGUGAAAUUCGUAGAUAUUCGCAAGAACACCAGUGGCGAAGGCGACUUACUGGUCCGGUUCUGACGCUGAGGCGCGAAAGCGUGGGGAGCAAACAGGG